rnacentral:rRNA from 1 species
GCUACGUAUGGACGGGAUAAGUGCUGAAAGCAUCUAAGCACGAAGCCUCGCCCAAGAUUAGACAUUGUCCGCAAGGACGCGGUUCGUAGAAGACUACAACGUUGAUAGGCUCUAAGUGUAAGGCCCGUAAGGGUUUCAGCUGAGGAGUACUAAUAAACCGUCGCGCCCUCAAA